CCCGCGCGCCCCGUGUCCUGUGAAGAGGCAGCGAAAGGCCUCUGGAAUCCCAACCCCGAAACUGGCAGCUACGCUUGGGUACCACCGGCACUGCUCAUUCAGUGAAAAAGAUUUGUUAUUCACGCCUGCUUGUGUGUUCGUGUGGUCCUGUUUUAAAGACUAUUGCUAUUAUUCUAUUUAAGGACUAUUACGGGUAAAGUAACGCAUUUAGGAGAGAAGUAGCCAAUAGCUACUGAAAAGCAGCAAACACCACCGAGGUUACAGCAAGGUUUUUUUCCUCUUGUGUGAUCACAUGCUCUUUGCAGCCACAUCUUGCUGUAGGAGGAGGACGUCAAAAAUUAUAUGAUAAUGGAAGAUUUUUUUUCUGCUAAAAGAUGUGUUUCUUAUCUCUGUGAAGCCUUUUGUCAGACAUCAUGCUGCUCCUACAGCCAAUGUGUUCAUAAAGCCAGGAGAACAAGAUAAUCUCCAGGUUUGCCUCAACAUGGAGAUUUUCUGAAGAACCCCUGUUUAUGGCUACAUCCUUACUUGGAGUACAAAUGGAAUAAAAACAACCUUGUUUGUAAGGCUAAGGGAUUAGAUUGGACAUCAAAAUUGCAUUUUUUAAGAGUCUGGUGGACUGUAAAAACCCAUUCCAGUCAGAGGUCGCUCAUUUGGAAAUGGUACAGUAAGAACACACAGCUUUUUCAGAGCAGUUUCCAGAAGGCAGACACCUAACCGCGGGUAGCAAAGGAGAACUGUGCAUCUGUCCAACACCACAAAUCACUUCUCCCCAGAAUCCUUAAGCUGAGCCAGAGUACCUGAAGAAUACUUCAGGUAUGGGUGCCAUUCUCCCAGGUGCUCUGCAGUUUUCUCCAUCAAAGAAGGAUUAUUUGAAAUCAGCCUGGUACUGGCUUUGCAAGGUUACACAGCUCCUGUUAGAACGAAGGUUGCAAUUCACUCUGGAUUUCACUAAAGCAGCAUGAAAUAGCUCUUGAUUCUAAUACAAUAGCUAUGACAAGGUUAGAAUGAAGCUGAGAGUAGAGUUUUAUUUGAGAGAAGAGAGGAGUGGAAAAGGGAGGAGCUGAAAGCAGCAGGAGUGGAAGGGAAGUCAUGCGUGACUUUAAUCACAGAUGAGAAUGAGAGACCACUUGCCUGCAAAUUUACUGUCAGAGGGGAUUCAUUUUUAUAUAUGUGGUUUUGGAACAAAAUAUGCAAGCUUUAUUUUUUCUGUCAAAUGCAUGGGUCAAAAUGAGAUAUGUUUAUAGUUAAUCUAAUUCCUUCUGUGUUCUUUAUUCUAGUCCAGUACUAUAUGUCUAGAAAAAAAUACCUUUUUUUAAAAAAUUUAUUCUGCUUUUCACAUUUCCAGGAUAUUUUUAGAUCUCUUUGACAUAUCUACAGAUUUAAAAAAUCAAUGGGAAUCAUGUCUGCUCAGUGUUUCCCAGACUGAGUUAGAAGGACAGUUUUUUAAAGGCAGUAAGGUAGAGAUGCUUUUAUAAAUGUUUACAUAUUUUUUUAAAACUCUCUUCCUUAGUGGCUUGUGAAAUUUAUGUAAAAUAUACCAUGAGAAAUCAGCCUAAUUGCAUAUCUAAACUCCAUAUUUUUCAGUCUUUAAAACUGAAUUCUGGAAUUCCUUGUUUGAAAACUGCAUUGAGUUCCUAGUUUGAGACAUGCAAAAGAAAAUAUCUUUGAUCUCAUAAGAUCUCUAAGAUUCAUGAGAACUACUUGCAAGGUGAAAUAACCACAGAUUGGUUGUGAAAGAACUUGCAAAAGGAUUUUCCUAACUAACUGUGUUCAGGGUUUCAAUAUGUUUUCCUAGUACUUAUUAUUGGCAGAAGCCUGUAUGCUAGGAUUCUGAAUUUGAGGAGAGAACAUUCUUUAAAACUCUUUUAUUAUUUCCUCUCCUAGAGCUAGUUCCUUAACUACUCCGAGAGGACUUAGGUUCAGUUACAACUAUAUAUUGUAUUUACUGUCUAAUGAUGCUCCCUGGUUAAAAAGAUUUUGCAAAGGAGAUGUUCAAAAUAGUGUUUCUCGUUUUAAUUCAUCAUCAUGCCUUGAAAACUCCAAAUGGUUUUAGUUUUGUAUUACAUAACACUUUAUUUAUUUAUAUAUAUAUAUUGGAUUAGAUUUUCCUGCUAAUAAUUCAUUGUACAUUUGAACUUACAAUUUGUUGUGCAUUUGAAAUUAAUGGAGAUGGUCUAAGUUUUUACUGUUUUACUGGUUUAUCUGAGUACAGGAUUUGGCCUAACUGGUAGACAGAGAAGCAACACAUAGGGACCAUGUUUAUUUUUUUCUAAAUAAAAGCUGAGAUACUUGCCAGUCAUAGAAUAAAAAUUAAUAAAAUUCUGGGCAAUAUACUACAUAGUAUCAUAUAAUCUUUAGGAUUUCUGGAAUUACUUUUAUCAACAACUUAGUCAUGUGGGCAUUUCGGAAGGAUAAAAAAACAUUUCACCCCCUCAAAUCAGCCCUUGCAUAAUUUUUACAGAUUUUUUAACUCCUGGUUGGAGUGUGAUUGUUUAGUUGUGUUCAUAUAACCAUUGGAAAGGCCACUGUCUAGAUGUCUGGUGAAUUACCUCAGUAAAUGCUGAGUCUAACUGUGUAAUGAUUCUUGUCCUGUGUGCAUUUUACAUCACUAACCAAAAGAAGCUCUCUUACUAAGUUUUUUAAGAUUAUCCAUGCUUAUUUGUCUAUGAAUCAGAGGUAAACAGCAUACCUUUAUUUUGAAAAAAAAUACUCUCCCUUCAACCCCCAAGGCAAUCCACGUUUGUGAACCAAAAUGGCAAAGGCAUCCAAGGCCUAACUCCAUGUAUCAGGAAGACUAUCUAUAUGGAAAUCUGUGCUGCUGCUGUGAGUAUGAGUGGUGUGUAACCUGGGUCUAGAAUAUAAAAGGUGAAGAAUAAGAAUUUAUGAAGAGUGUAAGUGGUGUCUUCAUCAGAGAUUCACAAUUUACUGUCAAAGAAGUAAUUUUUUUUUUUUUUAAACAUUAAUAGAAAAGCGUUCAUUGGGGGAGGACCCUGCUUUGGACUUUUCAUUAAAAACAGCAUUUCUGUCAGUUA